GAUGAACGCUGGCGGCGUGCCUAAUACAUGCAAGUCGAGCGAACAGAUGAGGAGCUUGCUCCUCUGACGUUAGCGGCGGACGGGUGAGUAACACGUGGAUAACCUACCUAUAAGACUGGGAUAACUUCGGGAAACCGGAGCUAAUACCGGAUAAUAUAUUGAACCGCAUGGUUCAAUAGUGAAAGACGGUUUUGCUGUCACUUAUAGAUGGAUCCGCUCCGCAUUAGCUAGUUGGUAAGGUAACGGCUUACCAAGGCAACGAUGCGUAGCCGACCUGAGAGGGUGAUCGGCCACACUGGAACUGAGACACGGUCCAGACUCCUACGGGAGGCAGCAGUAGGGAAUCUUCCGCAAUGGGCGAAAGCCUGACGGAGCAACGCCGCGUGAGUGAUGAAGGUCUUCGGAUCGUAAAACUCUGUUAUUAGGGAAGAACAAAUGUGUAAGUAACUAUGCACGUCUUGACGGUACCGAAUCAGAAAGCCACGGCUAACUACGUG
rnacentral:rRNA from 1 species